AUGACCUUGAGGAUAAAAAUACGACCCUACUUAACAAAUGAUUGUUUAAGCUACUCCCUCCUAAGAAGAAAAUAUGUAGGCUCAAAGGUAGUGUCCCAAAUAUAUUAGAAGCAUGGGGACUCACACUUUUGGAAUGGUCUAAUGGCUACGAAGAAACAAUUCUUCCAAUGUGGAUCCUUCGCCAUAAAAGACGGAUCGAAGAUUAGGUUCUGGGAGGAUAAGUGGCUAGGCAAUGCCACUCUCCGGAAACAAUAUCUUGCCUUAUACAAUAUUGUGCGUCACAAGGGUCAUACUAUCCCCACGGUUAUGGAAUCCUUUUCGCCAAAUGUGACAUUCCUCAGAGAUUUAGUUGGUCCUAGACUUGAAUCGUGGAACAUUUUGGUACAAUGCCUGUCCACAGUGCAAUUGUCGCAAGGGGUCGAUGUAUAA
rnacentral:rRNA from 1 species